UUCGACAUGGUCAUCGGCCUUCUGGCUCUCAUUUAAUACCCCUCUCUCUCUAUCAUUGAUUUAGCAAAACGAACCAUAAAAGUGAACAUUUAAGUCAUUGACUACUAGCAUGCAUUGUUUGAUCGGAUAGAAGAAGAAGAAAGAAAGAAAAGUAUGCGGGCGACCAAACCGUUUUAAGUUUGAGGAUGAAAGAAUUGGAAGUGGAGAUCAUUAAUGGGUGUGUUUAGACAGUGGAUUAUUUACAUAAAUUUAUUUAUUUAUAUUAUAAAUAUAUUUUUCAAUCACUUUUUUUUUCACAUACGUCAUAUAAAAAAAUACUACAAUAUUUUUUUCAAAGAAAAAGUGCUACAGUAUUUUUUUAAAAAAAUAUAUCUUCUGGUCCAUUUGUCAAUCAAUAACGUUUAUUUAAAGAAAAACAAAAAAAGAAAAAAUAGAAUCACCAAGGUAGAGGUGGCAAUAUGGAUAAAUGGUUCAUAAUUGGUUUUGACUUAAUGGAUGGUGGAUGAAAUUUAUCCAAUCCAUUUAAAUCCAUUUAAUAAAUGGAUCUAAAUGGAUUAAAUAAAAACCAAUUAUCCAUUUAUAAUCCAUUUAAAUAUUUUGGUUACUUUUUUUUUUUGUAUUACCAUUUCUUGUAAUAUGAAGAUACUUUUUUAUGUACUCGUAAAUUUUAGGUGUAGUUGGAUGAGAAAGAUGGCAAAAUACUUAGAUUUUUCAUUUAAGAAUUUAGGUAGUAUUUUGGUCUAAUUUAAGAAUAAUUGGUCUAAUUUGGUUAAAGUAAUUUAUAAAUAAAAUUUUCAAAUGUUAUUUAACCUAUAUCAUAAAUAUAAUUUUUAAUUUUUUUUAUCUCAUACACGUCAUGUCACAAAAAAUUUAUAAUAUUCUUUCAAAUACAGCUCGUCAUUGGAAACUUUUCUGGGUUUAAAUUAAAGAAACAGUUAGGGAACCCAGCUAGGAAUAGGAGGGAAGGUUAUGGUGGGGGACCAAAACCGGGGGGAGGGGGGGCCCAAAUUGAAUUCGUUGAUGCAGUCCACCGCAUGAUUGGGGAGCAUGGAGGACUACACUGUCAUAUAUUUCUUGCUUGCAAGUUUUGAUCAUGAUUGGCUACUUUUAUUUGGUUUUUAAAUAAAUGGAUAUAUGUGGUUUUUGUGGAUAAUCCAUAUAAAUCCAUUUAAUUUAAUGGUUUUACUUUGGUCAACCAUUUAAAACCAAUACCAUAAAUGGAUAAUCCAAAUCCAUUUAAUUAUGGAUUAUAUGGAUGGCUAAAUGGAUUUCAAUCCAAAUUGCCACCUCUACACCAAGGUACAAGUCCCUAACAAUUUCUUAAAUCACACAUCAAAUUACUCACAUAAUCGAGUUAUGCUCAGUACUAAUGAAAGCAUAAAAGAGUUUGAGUUCCAGUAGCAUUUGAAACAAAAAUUUGUCAUUGGCGCUAUCUAACAGGCUUAUAAUUCAUUGAAUUUGAGUUUGAAUCAUGACUUUAGAAUCAUGAUGUUAUACACUGUUUGCGAGAAAAUUUGGGUAGUAAACUCACAUCUUUGUCAUGUCUCCUUCAUUGUGGAACAAGUUCUUUGAACAAAAUCAUUUUUGGCUCAAAAUGCUAACGUCCAACAAAAAUAUUAAUUAGUCAAUAGUUCGAAGUCCUGCAAACAAAACUCAAAAAGCUACUUCACCAUUAGUAGUCAAUAGUACAAAGUUUUACAAAACCAUCAUAUUGAUAUUUAGUCAGUUUGUCAAUUUCAAUCAAAGAAAACAUCCCUCUCAUCGAGAGCUAUUGCUACAAGGGCUCCUCUGACGGCAUCAAAAAAGAGGGACCAGGGGCAGGAAUGGUUGAACGGUUGCAUGAGCAAUCGUUCCUGAAGAUUAUGUGCAUUUUGCACACGACGUAACUUUAUUUGUACAUGAUAUAAUUUACUUUUAACAAUAUGUAAUUCUAGAACAAAAUUUUGUAAAUCCCACGCAUAUUAUUAAAAAUGAGAUACAAGAUAAGAUCUGGACCGUAUAAUUUUUUUUGGCCAAAUCUUACCCGUGAACGGUUAGAAACGGUUGCUUCCUGCAACCAUUCGUGCCCCUCCUCCAAAAGGAGGAGAGCAACAAAUGCGAACGUCAGCAAUUAUGGCACAGUACAGUACUUUGGACCUAAUCUCAUCAGGCUUCGAUUGUGGAUAAACUAUGUACUCUUUGCAAUUCUCGUUUACUCUUGCAACUAAAUUUUUUAUUUUUUUAAUAGCUUAAAGAGACUAAAAUCUAAAGAUAUGUCUGAAAGUAACUUUAGCUGAUUCUAUCUUUCUCGAUAAUUACUUGCCGUAAUCAACUUUUAUGUGCAAUAACCCGAUGUUAAAAGAGCUACAAAUGCUAUAACUAGCCUAAAAAAGCUUGGCUAUGCAUACAUCCGGAUUAAUUAAACACCCAGCACAUGUAGAAAUGCACAAGAGCGUCCCACAAGAAAAAAUGCUUUUGCCAUCUUCAAAUCAGAAUCUUGGAAAAGUCAAACGAGCUAAUGUUGAACAUCCGAGAACUGCCUAAGUCAACCAACCUAAUCUUGGAUAUCUGAACAAGCGUUUACUAGCCAACAAUCUUUUGAUGCCCUCAAAUCAAUCAAAACUAAGUCACCAAGUCAAUCUUCAUUCACGAUCAUCUUUGCUUGAACAAUUCAAGAAAGCAACUGUGUGUUUUAUGUCUUCUUCUUUGCUGUUCCAUUUGAUAUCUCAGUUCUGAUGGUUUUUCUUGUCCCUUGAGUUUCAUCUUAACACAAAAAAUUACUAAUCUACUCGUGGAAUUCAGCUCAUAUAUAUAGACGUUCUUGAAGUUGGGGUGGUACAUCACCACUCUUUCAUGAAAGACUUUGACGCUUGGGACAAUCCUUAAAAAUAGGUUAUUAUAUCAAAAUCGAAUAUUAAUGUCUUAUUAGUCUCGUUUUCAUCUCCCAUGGUGUAGACUUGUUCUUCUUCUUCUUUUUUUUUUUGGUCUUGGCGGGCUAAUUAGACUUAGUAUGCACUAGUCAAGCCCAUCAUAAAUGUUGGAUUUUGAAGCAUUUUUGGCAAUUAAUGCAGAAGAUCAUUGCGCCAUUUAUGUCUGCUGCAUGAAACUUGUAAACAAGAUAGCCGUAACUUAUGUAUAAGUUGCAUGGUGGGUUCUCGACAACAUUUUGCAGAUGAUAUUAUUGAGAUGUUGAUAUGUGCAAGAAGCUUUGAAAAUUUGUAUGGCUGACAAAGAAACUCGAAAGCUUUUGAGAAACAACUCGUUCCAAAACUAAGACGCAUUUAGAAAAAAAAAAAAAAAAAAGUAAUGCAUUUAGCUUAAUUUAACUGCAUAUCUAUCUAUUGUAUCACGUUGGAGUCAUUAGAGGUCCAAACUACUCUUAAGUGAUGGAUGGAUUAGUGGGUUAAUAAAUCAUAAUGGGACUAGGUAAUGAAAAUUCAAAGGAGCCCUCAAUUCGAAAGAAGAUGCCUUUUGGAAGGUGAGAAUCCGAGUUUCCCGUGACCAGAAGCUGACGUCGUUCCUCUUGUGGACAGUUGGGUUAAUUUUUAAGAUUGGGCUGGGCUGCUGUUAGGCUUUUGAAGAGAAUGUACAACCAACAGCAACCCAAUACCACAGACGAUAUUAAUAAAACCCUUCAUGCACGCGAAGGAAUACUGCUAUUGUCUACUUGGGAAGUUUAGGAUAGAAAAGAACAGAAGUGUUAAGGUACGAAGAAAGAAAGAAAGAAAAGAAAAGAAAAAGGAAGAAGAUAUUUUAACGCUGUUUAAGAGUUUAUAUAAGAAAAAGAAAUAGGAUGUGCUUUGAACAUACACAUGCUAAUGAAAAUUCCUUCAAUAUACAUUUGAGGAUAAAUUAGAUGCUUUGAAAAUUUUUGUUAGAUUUUCUCAACUUGGCUUUCCCCGGCCCGGGAGGAAAACGUUAUCAACUAUAGCAGAGCAGCACCAGGCCAGCCAUAUCCAAACCAUCUAGCUUCCUUUCUUCUCCCUGCUAAUUGAUUAACAACUUGCAACGAAAAAUUGAAAAGCUUUAAAAUCACCCCACAAAUAAACUCCUAAUGAAAAAUGAACCUUGUCUAAGAUUUCAACAACUCUCUUCUGAGACGAAGUACAUGACAGAGGAACUUUCACAAAAAUUAAAAGACAGCGUAUCACGAGUAAGCAGAUGCAUUACUCGUUCCUCAAGAUUGAAGAAUGGCAUUAUUCAAAACUGUAGCUACUUCUACGAGAACCCCAUGACAGCCAAGCUAUCACAUCCCUAUGUAUCUAAUGGGCAAAUUUAUGACAAACAUGAAUAUGCCAAAUCUUUUUCCUCAGAGAGCUCUGCAGCCGUCGCAUCCAUCUUCUUCCUUGAGAACUCAUCAAUUGAACGUCCUGGCACAUGGACAGCAAUGCCAGAUCUUAGUGCCAUUAAGAAAGCAGCGAAAAUGAAAGAAAGGCCAGACCAGAACAACUGAUUAAACUUAUUGACUAAUCAAAAUUAUAAGUAGUCGCCAGUCACGAGUACUUCAUGUACAAACUAUUAACAUCUGAUGCUAUAAGAAGUCAUUUCAAACAAAAGCCAUAGAGCAAAGAUCUCCAUGCUCACCUUGAACAAUGGACCAUUCUCCAUUCUUACAGGUUACUGGGAAGGAAUAUAUAAGCCCAGCAGGCACAUUGUAGGAGCCAUCAGAGUAUACACCCAUAGAAACCCAUGUGCCCUAGAAUGCAGCAUAAACCGUGAAUGAGAGCAGAAUAGGUAUUCUAUGCAUAUUGUUCAAAGUAUGCACGCUAAGAUUUACCUCAGGAGUUCCAAGGACCCAAUCACGGAUGUGGUCACAAGCAGCACUAGCAGCAGAGAGUGCACUCGAGAGCUUCCUAGCCUUGAUAAUUGCAGCACCACGCUGUUGGACUGUGGUUAUGAACUCUCCAUUCAACCUAAAAUUUCAGAUAACAUAUCUUCAUUAAAACCAUGUGAAAUGUGAAACCAAAAGUUGGCAAUGAAUGGAGAGCUUAGAAAACCUAAGAAGCAAAUUGCAAAAACUUGAACUUUUUACCAGGCAUCAUCAGCUACAAGCUGACGAACAGGCUUUUCUCCAGCUGAUGUUUUAACAGUUGCGUGGUUGACAUCAGGAUACUGUGUUGAGGAGUGAUUUCCCCAGAUAAUGGCAUUUUUAACAUCACUAACUUGAACACCCAAUCUUUCUGAGAUUUGACCAAGGGCCCUGUUGUGGUCCAAUCUUGUCAAACAAGUAAUGUUUUUUGCAGGAAUUGAUGGUGCAAACUCCUUCAGGAUCAAUGCAUUCGUGUUGGCAGGGUUAGCAACAACCAAAACCUGGAAGAAAAAAUCAGCAGAAGACCAUUUAAGUUAUGAUAUCUAAAGAGACAGAAAUACAACCGGAAAUCCAAAUUCUUUAGACCAUUUUCAUCAUACAUCAACCUGAUUUGCAUCAAGUUAACUAACUGCCCCCAUUCAAAAAAGUUCAGGAGGACAGAAAAGUUUGAAAAACUAACCAACUGACAUGAUCAUAUCUAGUUGAAAUGAUAAACAAGUUUUUCCAAACAAGUCAAACAGGAAAAAGGAAGUAUGUAACAAGCCCCAACAAUCUAAGUGAAUCUUAGGAAAGGAACCAAAAAUGCCUUUCCACAACAAAACAAAAGCUGAAACCAACAUCAACGGAUGGCAACCAGAAAUCUACAAGUUAUUAAAAAUGCUAAGCACCUUGCAGUUAGGGGCAGCAUGCUGCUCAAGAGCAGAAGCUUGAGACUUGUAGAUAGAAACGUUCUUUGUCAUCACAUCUUUUCUUUCCAUUCCUUCUUUCCUUGGGAAUCCGCCAACCAUGACAGCAACACUGACACCAGCGCAUGCCUCAGCAACAUCAGUUGUAGCAACAACCCCUAGUCAAAGAAAAUUAUAAUUAUGCUUAUGAAUCCAUUUUUCACUUUGUCGGAGUAUUAACUAAUGUUAGCUUUCAUAUAGGAACAACAAUUAAGAUGGCCAGAUGACAAACCUUUUAAUAAAGGAAAAGCAGCAUCAACCAGCUCCAUUUUAACUCCAUUGAGUGCCUCAGCAGCAGGUGGAAUAUCAAGCAUGUGAAGGAUCACUGGCUGAUCAGGUCCCAACAUCACUCCUCUGGCAAUCAUGGGUACAAGAGCAUAUCCAAUUUGGCCUGAAAUAAACCAGCAUGCUUCAGAUCAGUAUAUUUCAUAAUUCACGAAAUUAUCCGCUCUUUUUGAAUAAUAGAAUUUUAUAUUCAAAAGAGCCUGUCCUCCCCACUCCACCACCCCGAAAAAACAACCACCAACCCCAACCCCAUAUCCUUUUUCAGAUUCUUUUCCUAAAACUGGUUACCAAAAAAGAAUCUGAGCAAACAGGGAAGGUAUGCAAUGAAGAUACACAAGAAAAAUCAGGAAGAUCAACAAAAUAAUCAUUCAACUACUAUUAUACUAACAUCAAAUGAAACAAAAACAUAUCAAUACCUGCAAAAAAGGAAAUUUCCUACGGUUUCAAAACUUGUUUUCCAAAAACCAUAGACACGUUGUUUCCAAUAUCCUUUUCCAUUAUAUACGAAAGUAUACAAUAAAGGUUUAAUCUUCUUCGAAAAACAUGCCUUGCAAACCGAACUAAAUCAUUUCAACUACUAUUAAAACUAAUAAACAAAUGAAAGCUAAGAAAUUGCUCGAAUCUUUACCUCUUACACCAUACUUUUAUUUCUGGAACACAAAAAGUUUACUUUUUUACUUCAACAUUAAAACCUAGCUAAAUCCUGCGAUUAAUCAUCGAAAUGAUUCAUGAUUAUCUAUAACUCCCACACACCAGUCACGUUCAGUUUAGCAGGCUGAUCCGACAAUCAAAAUCAGACCGAUGAACAAGCAGAUCAAUCAGAAUCAGGCAAUAAUUAAAGAUGUAGAAAACGAAAAAUCAGAUCUAGACAAACAGAAAAAAGAAUAAAACAAACAGAGCUUUUUAAUCGGGCUACGGGGGAGUGAUUGUUACCUGCGGCGCCGGUGACGAGAACGCGAACGGGAUCUUUAGCCAUUUGAUUCGUCGGUCUCGGGAAAAGCGGGAUUGAAUUUUGAUCUGCAGAGGAGAGAGAGUAGAGAGCAGCGAGUGAUGAUAAGACGAGGAAGAAGGUUCGAUUAAAUACUGGUUCGAUGGGGAUCUAGAACGAUGUCGUUUUAAGAAAGUCUACUUGGCUUAUUCGAUUAUUGUCUUCCAUUUUUAUUUAUCUUUUUGUUGGUUGCCAUAUUUUUUCUGGUGAAUAAUGAGAGAGAGUUGUAUUGUACUAUUGACUUUUUCGAUGGAAGGCGUGGACGGUUGCGCAAACUGAGGAGUGUGCUGCUAAUUACUUUUGCCGUCUUCUUCUUUUUCCUAAUUUUUUAUUUUAUAUAAAGUAUAAACAGAAAAUUUUUAAUUAAGUUGCAUUAAUUGCAAGAAAUAGAGCAUUUAACGUGCCGAAUAUUUGGUGCUCAGGCAAGUUUGGAUAGAAUAUAUUAAACGAACUAUAAUUAUUGUUCGAAUUCAAUUCAUUUAUUUGUAUAAAUAUUCGCGUUCAAAGUUGAAUUUGUGUUUGGAGAUAAUUUAAUUAUGUUUUAAUAAAUAAUAUAUUAUCUAGAAUAAGCUUAAUUGUAUUUCUUGGAUUUAAAAAAUAAACAAUAACAAUUCAUGUAUAAGUAUUAUUUUAGUAAAAAUUUAUAUAUAAUAUUAAACAUAUUUAUAUUUACUUGUUUUAUAAAUUAUCUAUGUGUUCACGAACUAUUCGAAUAAUUUGCAAACAAGUUCAUGUUCAGCUCGAUUACUAAACAAGCCUAAUAUUGUAUUCAAACUUGGUUCAUUUAUUAAACAAUUAAGCUUUUUUUGAUCUCGAACGGGUGGAAUACGAACAUAUUCACAAACAACUAGAUUCGUUAAAAACUCUAACAGGAAAUAUAUCACUGACAAUGUCAUAGAUAAUUUAUUAAAUAAAAUUACAUUAAUUGCAGUAAAUACAUCAUUAGUCAUGCCAAACAUAUUAGAUUGAAAAAAAAAAUCUUUUUCUAAAUAUAUGACCUUUGAUUAAAAACGGAUAAAAAAAUCUUCUUCUAAAACAUGCGGAUUAGAGCUUACUAAAACGGUUAUGAUGAGGUUUGUUUUUAGAGUGAUGAAGUCCAAAAAUGAGACAAUUUUUUUUAACCUUUACAAUUAACUCACAAUAAUGGUGAAUUUAGACAUAGUUCAAACACUACAAAUUAACUAUUAACUAACAAAUAACGAGAUGAAUACUAACAUCAAAAGUCAACAAUUAAGAGUAAAAAAGCAAGAUCAUUAGAGGCAUAAUCGCGUCUUAUUAGAGUGAUGGAGUCCAAUAGGGAAGACGUUAAUUUGUUAGAGUCGAUCGAUGCAUAAUGUUAGACAAUAAGUAAUAUGGUUUUUGGAUGGCUGGGUGAAUCCAAACGGUAUUUUCUACUUGUUGGCAACUUAUAUAGAAGAAGUUUAACUUUCUUUUUUUUUUUUUCAAAUAUAAUUGUCAGUUAUUUAUUAAUAUUCUACAUCCUCAUACUAACUUUUUAAGUGGCUUUGAGUUUUCUCCUUUUUACAAAAGAAUAUGAGUGCAGUAGAUAUUUUUCUUGACAAGUGUAAGCAUAUAUAUAAAACAUACGUUCAUAAUCGUUGCAAUCCAUUGGAAACUUUUUCCCCUUCUGAAUUAGUCUGAUUUUCGAGAUAAGUAAUUGGCCCCAAAAAAAAAAAAAGGGUGGCCAUGCAUAAGUAUUUGUGCAAACAGAAAAAAGAUAUACAUGUAUAAUCACCAUAAUAUAUAGUUCUACUUACGUUGGAAUAAUCCCAUUGCAUGUGGUUCAUGUCCGGAAGAUCACAAGCUCCUUGGAACAGCUUAAUCAACAUUUGCAAUGGGGUCAAAUCAUCACUUUGAUAGUCAUCAGCUUCUCUCCUGGGCUCCGAGUGCUUCAAAAUAUUGGCCAAAUCUCACUAGCUCUGGUCUUCCGACUAGUGGUCGCGCGGAGGGGGAGAGAAAAAGAGAGGGGAAUGGGUGAGGGAGAGAGAGGAGAGGGGGUAACGGGGGAAGAGGAGGGGAGGGGGAGAGAGAGGGACGAAGAGAAGGGCGAGGGUGAGGCAGCAGCACCGGCAAAAGUGGCGGCAAUAGGGAGGGAGGGGAAAGGAAGAGCAGCAAUGGUGCAAGGGAGGAGGAAGAAGAAGAAGAGAGGAAAAAAAAUAAAAAUAAAAAAAUUCAAUUUCCCUAAAGUCUCAUGUAUACAAAAAAUUUUCUAUAAAUUCUACAGUAAAUUAUAAUAAAAUUUUAUACAAAUACCUAAAAAAAAUACAUCAUUCAGUUGGACCGAUUAUUUUUAGGAAGAGAAAGGAAUUAUAUUUGUUUUCAAUUUAGUAUGCAAGGUACUAGAGACAGAUAUAUUUGUGAAAGCAAAGAAUAUAACACGUAUAGCUCUCCUUUCUUUUUACCAAAAGAUGCAAAAUUUUCAUUUUUUUUUUCAUGUUAUCCACAAAAAUAACGUACGAAGGCAUUUGGAUGGUCACUUUUGGGCUUGAAAAUAGAGAGUCAAAUUGAUAAACUUUUCCACUAAAACAGCGUCUAGUUCUAACACUGGCUAUCAUUCAAAAAACUAGUUCUAUGUGUACCAUCAAUUAACAAAUUCAAUUAUGAAACUACCAAAAAGGGCCUUUUUCACAUGCCAAUAUUCUAGAAAAUGAUAAGUUUACAGGCUAAGAGAUUAUGACUUUGCCUUUCCACUUAAUUUUGAGUCAUUUUAGAAAUUUGUGGAACCUCGUGAAUAUGGUGUUGUUGGAAAAGUGUUUUUGUCCACUUGCAAUUGUACAAUAUGUUGAGGAAUCUAAUGCGACAACUAGAUCACAUUGAGACAAUGACAAGUUAGAAUCAGUUUUAAGAUAUAAUUUAUUUUACAGGUUUAAGUUGGUUAAAUAUGAUUAAAGCUUCAAUUUAAUGAAAAUUGAGGGUAAAUGACUUUGAAAAUAUACGACUUUGAAGAUUAACAAAACCAAGGGGGAAGAAAAGGCCAGCGAAUAUUUAGUCUUCAUGCCACAAGAUAUUUAGAAUCCUACAAAUAGGAAUGCACUCGAGUCAAGCCGAGCUCGAGUAUUGCUAUACUCGAGAUCAACUCGACUUAUAUAUAACUAGCUCGAGCUCGAUCGAGCCUAAAAAUCGCAACUCGAGGCUUGACUCAAAGAAAUUUUUUUUAACUCAAGACUCGACUCGGAAAAUAUACACUUAUAAAUUCAGUAUAAAUUAUACCCAUAACGAUUAUUUUAUAAUUAUAAUACAUAUAUAUUAUUUAAAUUAUAUAUAUUAAUUAAUUAUAUCCGACUCAACGAACCACAAGCAACAAAUUCCUGAUUCAAACUCAACUCGAAAGUAUAUUCGAAUAGCUCGAGACUCGACUCGAUCUCGAUUUGACCGAGUUCAAGCCAAGUCGUUAACCAAGCUGCUCGACAGUGACUCGACUCGCUUACGUCCCUACCUACAAACAUCUCAACUAAAACGUCUAAUUGUAGCUAUCCAUGGUCCGUUCAAUAUGGGAGAUGAUCAAGAAUAUCAAAUAGCUGUCAUGAAAAUAAAACAACAAUGAAUACCAAACUGUGGACAACAAUCUCAGUUCCAAGCUAAUUUGACCCCUUUGAAAGCGAAAACCAAUAUAUUUUUGUCAUUUCACUCAUAUACAAUCCUGAGCAAAUAAUCUUAAACAGAACAAUCCACAAGAUAUUGAACAAGCAUUAAUGCCUCACACUUAUGCUUUCAUCUACUAGUUACAACUUACAAGCCACACCAAUACGGAAGAGAAAAAGGAGGAUGAUUUUGGACCCCAUUCAAAAUUUUGGGAAGCCAAAAUAUAAAUGAAUUAAAUGUAACCAAAUCUCACUCUGUAUCUGAAGCCUCAGUCAAAUCAAAUCCUCUUGUUGUACGUCUUAAGAUUUUCUUGUGUACUAUGCUGAUCUGAGUCGUUUCAGUACUAUUAGGUACCACGAGCCAACAUCUCAUGGAAAUCAAUGAUGGAUUGCUCUCUUUCAAGCUUCAUCUCUUGGUGAAACUUGGAGAUGAAAUCCUCAGCUCUCUCAUCCACACAACGAAGGUGUGGCGAGAGAGGGAUUUUCCAAGCAUCAGCAGCACUAGCCGCUGCGCUUGUACUCGUCUCGCCACCCUUGAUCUUCUUUUCAAGAAUCUUCAGACCUGGUGCAGCAAUUUGAUGAUGCUUUUUCACAACAUUACUGCUCGUUGUUUCUUCGAGUUUCACCUUAUUACCAGCUGAACUGCUGGAUGCUACCAUUUUUGCUAAGGAGCUGUAAUGCCUAGCAUGCCCUGGAAAUAGUUCAUCAACAUAUAUAGCUGAAGAACUCCCGGUGUGCUGGUGGUCGUGAUGAUAAAAACGGAGGCGAGAACGCAAAGGGGAACGGUUGAUCAGAGCAUAUAAUUUGCAGGGAAUGAAAACUCGAAUGGAGUUCAAAGUAUGGAUGCAAUAUUUCUUGGUUCUUUUUAUGGCUUUGGAGGUCUUUAGUUUCUGUAGUUUUGAUUGGAAUUUGGUUUUGAAGCUCUUCCACGCCUUCUUAGCGGGCAAAAGCUUCUUAGCCAAGUUGAAGCGGGACAUUCAAGAGAUCGUUGGGUAUUUGGCUAGGAACUUUGGUGAUUGAGUUGAGAGGAUAUCUUGGUACAAGGAAUUGAAAAGAAAGAGGAGAAGGUUGGAUUUUAUUUGCUGCUUCAGUGCAUAAAAACUUAAGGCUGGGUGGUUUCAAGUCUCUAGCAAAGUCCUGGUCAAGGGCAUCUUUGCUCAUUCUUUUCUUGGCACAAAUUGCUUCAUUAAUUCAGGGUGGUAGUACAAGAUGCCUAUGCAGUUCUCCUCAAAUAACUAAAAUGCCAUUGUAUUGUUUUGUACAAGAAUGAAGAAGAAGCUGAUUUUGUGAACCCAAAAUAGAGAAAGAAAAAUAGAGCAUAAUGACUGUAGAAACAGGUUGAAAUUGGAGAACGGUUUUAUGACCUUUUUGUUCUUUGAGUAAAAGACUACUACUAGAGUAAUUAAUUUUUCUUUUGGAAGCGGUUUAUUGAUUUAUAUUGAUAGGAAGAAACGUCUUAAGAGAAUCCAUUAAAAAGUUCAAUAUAUAAGUCAGAAAUUCAAUUAUGAUCCAAAAAUUUAUGCCGUUAGAUUUCGGACCCUUACUUACAUAGUAAUUAUUUUUUUUCUAUCUCUCAGACUAAUGUGAGAUAUAACUCUUUACUCAUGAAUCUAACAAAUGUCACCGUCAAUCAUUCUUUGGAUGUGUGUAAGCAUUUAAGUGAAAUAUUUUCUCCAAUUUGAUUGGGUCGUUAGAACGCAAAAAAUUUACGUGAUUAAAGAAUGGCUUGCUGGGAUCGGGGCCAAGAAAUGCUAGGUCAUUUGUGGCAAAACAAUUCUAACUUUCGGUAGCCUUGAAAACCUUGCUGGCCGAAGAAAUCUUGGGUCCCAAGUAUUGAUUAGCUUCAUAUAUUCCUGCUAAUGGACUUUUUCAGUGUAGUGGAGAUGAGUUAGGGCCUACAACACAUUGAUCAUUCCUUAAGAAAAGGCAAGAACGAUUGAGACUUUAUUUAUUGCUCCUGCAUGCUAGUUGUGAAUCUGAAUGCUUCGAUUUUUGAGCUGGACAACUUGUUUAGGUAGAAAAUUGUGAAAAAAAAAAAAAAGUACUAGCGAUACUUGCAUUGUUUUAGCAGUUAAAUAACUGAAUGGGUUUCGAUCGAGAAAUUUGACAAAAAAUUUGAAAUUCAUUUGAAUCCUCCUAGUUAUUUAAAUUAUAUAGAGGGUAUUUAAAUUUGUGAAUUAGUAAUUAUUUUAGUGUUUAAAAUGUAUCUAGAUAAUUUAUGUCUUUCCUUAACGGACAAGGAAAAAAAAUCGAGGUUAACACACUUUGUUGUGUGGUUUUCUUCACCUAAAAGUAGCUGGCGAUGACAAAAAAGUAUUGACAACCUUCCAUCUUUACAGCCAGAAAAGAGGCACCACCCUUUAUCCUGACUAUAAAAGAGUCAAUUCCUCUUCCCUAUUUCUCGUUUCGAUUUUUCUUUCACAUGGAGUUCUAAUCUAAUAGACAAAUUCCCAUAAAAGAGAGUAGUUAAAAGUCUGGUCAUUGGCCACAGAAAUUUUUCCCUCUUCAUCAGCUGACAGAAAAUAUCUUGACCCAAAUAUAUCCAUCCAUGAUUAUGAUCAGAAUUAAGGGUCAGGUCAAUUUUAUAUAUGGAAUUGAUUGUAGACCUCAAAUUGGUUCCUGGAGCUUGCUCUUCUCGGGGGUUUUUCCCCCAUCUUAUAGGCAGCAAUACAACUGCUGCUCUGAGAACGAGGCAAAAUCCGUCCCAUUUCAGCAUUUUUUCCCUCUGUUUUGCAGGUACUGGAUGAUUCAUAUCCUCUCGCCACGCUAUCUGUCCUGGUCUACACAUACUCACACACUGGCAGUCUGUUAGGUUGGGCUAUGUUUUCAAAACCGGACCGGAUAUCGACUCGAUCGAGGUCAGGGGUCAAUGGAUUCGAUCGGGAUUCGAUAGGGGUCGAACCGGAUGACGUCAUAAAUAAAAAUUAUUUAAAAAUUAAAUUAUUGUAUAUAAAAUAUCCAAUAACAUAUUGAUAUUAAUAAAAGUAUAUUCAUAUAUAUUUGAUGUUUCAAAUAUAUUUAACAAGAAAAUACAAAUAAAUUAGAACAAUCAAAUAACAAUUUAUAUUAUUUAAUAAACAUUAACAAGUUUAGAAUUAAAAUUAUGGAUUUAAUUGAAAAAUAACAUCAAAUUUUAGGACAAUAUUUAUAAAGUAUGAAAUAUUUGAGGUAUAUUAAUAAGUUUUCACAAUUUAGGGGGCCAAAACAUAAUAUUAAAAAAGUUUGAACUUUUUUUACAAAAUCUCCCGUUGGACCGGUUUUUCCGGUUCUGUACCGGUCAAACCCGGGUUUUGACCGGAGUUGACAGGAUUUUGAAUCUCCCGGUUUUGAUGACCAACUCGGACCGGAUACUUGACCGGUUCCCGGUUCAACCGGUUGGACCGGCCGAUCUGGUCCGAAUUUGAAAACACAGAGGUUGGGUUGGGUAUCAAGAAAUUGACCAACAAGAAGAAUAAUAGGAUUUUUACUAACUCAAUAAAGACACUAACAAAUCAAACAGAUAAAUACAAGAAAUUUUACGUGGGAAGUGACCUAUGCCAACCCAUCGGCCGAAAAUGACCUAUGCCAACCCAAUACAAAAGAGGGGUAACAAAAAGAGGACAGUAGAUUUACUAUAAUAGAAAGAUGAAAGAGAGUACUAUAACAGAGAGUACAAAAAGGAGAAUACAAAACUUGAAAAUAAUUUCAAGACCCAAAAGGUACCUAAAACUGAAAUACAAAAUUUAAAAUUUAAAAUACAAAAGAGUUUAAAUUACACAAAAUACUUAAUGGUCUAAAGGCUCUUAACUUUUUUUUAAGUUAUUUUUUUUAUUUUAGUGUAAGCGGGAGGAUUCGAAUUCGAGAUCUCUUACUUACAUUCUCUCUCUCCGUAUCAUCCAACCCAACUCUCCCUCCCCAAAGAUUCUUAACUUGUUAUGCCUAAUCAAAACAUUUCUUAAAUUGGAGCAUGAGCCCCUCUAAACUCUUUUAGGCUAGUGCAUACGGCAUUUGGAUUGAUACUCAUAGCACGAUUAAAUUCACUUAAAUCCGUUAUUUUCCUAACCACUAGGAGAAGAUAUUUCUUUGUAAAACUUUUGCCGUAAGAUACAAAAAUAAACUCAACCAUCUCCUCUCCACACACUCUCGCACACGGCUAUGUCUAUGGUAGCUACUGUUCGAUCCUUCGUACCGUACGAAAAGGUCGCUUGGAGGGUUCGGAAGUUGACAACAAACACUGUACGAAAAUCAAGGUGCCACAUGGUUCAGAGAGUUAGAACACAUUAUUGAAUACACUGAGUUUGUUUGGAUUGCCUUCAUUUCAAAUAAAAAAAUUUACUUCACAAAUUUCAACCAUUUUUUUAUCUUUCCAGUCACCUUUUUAUCUUACAUACGUCACAUCACAAAAAGUAUUACAGUAAUUAUCUUAAAUAAAUCAUGCAAAUAAACUCUUAUCCAAACAAACUCAGCAUGUUUUAAGGAAGGCCUUAUGGGAACUUUUUUUUUGAGCAAAAUAUCCCAAUGGUCCUUCAACUAUUACAAAAUUUAACUUUUGACCCUUUAACUAUUAAUUAAUAAGUUUUAGCCAUCUAAUUAAUUAAAACAUAUAAUUCUAGUCCUUUUGUCAACUUGAACUGUUAUGUUUAACAAAAAUAGCUGGACAUGCGCAACAAUGGCCCUCAAAUUAUUAUAAAGUUUAACUUUUGACCCUCCAACUAUUAACUUUUGAGACUAAUGCAACUUUAGGCCAGUUUCGAGGUUCUGUUCUACAUUUAAAUAAAAAAGUUGUUAUCCUAGAAACUCAGCUCCUGAAUUUCGUAUGCAAUGUCAUGUAACUGUAGCUACUACUCCCCCAUUUUUUUUAGUGGAUUCUUAGCUUCUAGUAAACAUUGCCUUUUUUUAAAAAAUGACUUUUUUUUCUGUUGUUUUAUUGGGAAUUUUAGACUAUUAACUAUCCAUAUGCAUAAAAUAAUUACCUGAGAAACUACUACUCCUUAACGUAUUUUUAAUUUCAUAAAAUUCUUUAACAAGUUAAUUUUCAAAUCAAAAAAAAAUUUUAAAACCAAUUUCCGUGAAAUUUACUUUUGUUAUUUGCAUGAGCGGCAAUCACUAACAUUUUCAAAGGAUCCCAACAUUCGCAAUUUAUAUGUGCGGCUAUUGUGUAGAUCCAUAAAAUUUUAUUUUCACCCUUUUGAAGCAUACAAAUUUUUCAAAACUGUCCUACGAAUUACUAAUGAAUUGCCCCAACAAUAUUUUGAAAAAAUUAUUAUAUUAGAAAGUAAAAUUAAUUAGCACUAUAGUAAGUGGCCCCAAACCUUUUUUUGUUAUAUGACCACGUGUGGUAUCCUAAAUCACCAGACUAGUCCACACGUGUCCUACACCAACCUGCCUAAGCCGUGUGGGCGUUGUUCCACCGGAAAUUCAAUUUUUAACAGUGAUACUCACCUAAUUAGGAUACUACCAUUAGACCAAAGCCCCGAGGGCGAUCCGUAAGGUGCGUACUUUAGUGUAUGGUUAAUGGAGACCACAUGUUCACCUGUAUGUGAUGCUAAAAUUUUGUAAAACAAAUGAUUUUGUGCGAGCACAAGCCGGUAGUGUUGAUAAGGAUAGAUCAUUUUUUUUUUUUUUCAUGAAAGGUUGAAAAGGUUGUGUGUUCGAGUGGAUGAUCAUAAGAAUCCCUAUAACGCGUGGUUUGUGACUUUAAAUUCUUAGUUGCGGAAAUUUUCGAUUCCAAUUCGAUUGUUCAAAUGAGACAUUGUCAAGUAAAUUUCACUAACUCAAGUCACAUAUAAAAUCAAAACAAUUGUCACCCAACAAGAUUAGUGAAUUUGACGUGAGAGGGUCUCUUAUGUCUUCGAUUGAAUUGCAUUGUCCACGACUGCACAUUUGAAGAUAUGGUCCAUCAUGCUAUGGUGGUGACUGGAACUAAAUCCACUGAACUAUUUAUUAUCCGAAAAAAAAAAAAAUGAUGAUGUUCGAUGUUACGUGCCUUCUUGUUGGUUUCUCCUGUCGCUUUACAUUAUGGGGCCUGGUUUUAAUUGAGGCAAACAAUAAUAUGCGGAUCAAAUUAUGUGAAAAAACAAGUUCAUCAUGAUUACGACGACCAAUAUUUGUUUGCACCUAUCAAGAAGCUUGACACCAUGGAAUGUGAUGCCAGCUUUACUGAUUAGAAAGCUCCAUUUUUAAUCCCUGAUGAAGCUAUCUUCUUGUAAAGGAAAAAAUAUAAUUUUUUUUUUAUAGAAAAUGUAAAGAAACAAAUAGUUGAAACGGUGAGUCAACUACCAAAAAAUUUACUCAUUUAUACUUUUUUGUUUUAGCCUUCAUAGAAUUCCUUAACCAAUCUCUGUAAAAGUAAAUCUUACAAAUUACUGAGUCUGUCAUCAUUUGCAUAGUACGUGGGCAAGUCCUUGUGUCGACUGAUAAUUAUAUGAAUUGAGAACCGCAAAGAAUGAGAUCAAAGAUUAGACAAGCCCAGAUAUUGUUCAUGUGAUUUCUCUAGUCUUCGAGAUAUUCUCCAAGAAAUUCCAGGAAAACAACAGGGUAAAAAGGAUCAAAUACGGCCGCGGAGGAGGAGGAGGAGGAGGAGGAUUAGGAAAAAUUCUCGAUGCAAAGCCAAAGGGUGUGGCUCUUGGGAUUCUGGGCAAGCCCAUUUGUUCAGAGGGUGAAGUGGGCGCUCAAACUUAAGGGUGUUGAGUAUGAAUACAUUGAAGAAGAUCUAUUCGACAAGAGCUCUUUGCUUUUGAAGUUAAAUCCUGUUCAGAAAUUGGUGCCUGUUCUUGUUCACAAUCGAAAACCAAUUUCAGAAUCCAUACUCAUUCUUGAAUAUAUUGAUGAGGUCUGGAAACAGAACCCCUUGUUACCCCAUGAUCCUUAUGAAAGAGCACAAGCACGUUUCUGGGCUAAAUUUGCUGAAGAGAAGGUAAUAAAUUCUCCCUUGAUCCUCGAAUCUACCUUUAAUUCAUAGCACGAGCACGAAAAACUAAAAAUUGAGCAUUUCUUAUGACAACCCUUCGUCGUAGCAGAAGUUUUUACCAGUUCUCCACCAAAAUAAAAAAUAAAAAAUUUUGCAGCUCAUGCUCUUAUCUUCUCCCAUGCUACUUUAUAGCUAGGGGGGGGGGAUGAAAGCGUUUUGCUGCAUUAGAAAUUGAUUUUACAAAAAGGGAUUUGAGCUUCAAUUGAAGCCUAAUUUCGUAUUGAUGUUAUGCAUUAUUCAGGUUCGAGAGUCUACAUGGGAUGCUUUAUGUUCGAGAGGUGAAGAGCGUGAAAAAGCUGUAAAAUCAUCUAUAGAGGCAUUGGAGAAGUUUGAAGAGGAGCUGAAACUGAAAGGGACAAAGUUUUUUGGAGGGGAAACAAUUGGAUUCGUGGACCUUGUAGCUGGCUUUAUUUCUUACCAACUGCCUGUUUUUGAGGAAGUUGGAUCCAUGAAAAUCCUUGACUCAUCAAAAUUCCCAGCGACAUUCGAUUGGAUCUACAAUUUUCUCAACCAUCCAGUGAUCAAGGAUGAUUUGCCAGCAAAGGAUCUGAUGUUUGAUUACUACGCAAAACGCAGUAAAGAAAUAUCUGAUGAAAAAGAUUCUUGCCGAAAUGCUUAACAGACGCAUCCCUGUUCUGGAGACGUUUUGCAGUGUUUCACUCGACAAAACUAGGCAGCUUUGUAGAUGUACAAGGUACUUGUGUUGGACCUUUUUGUUGUCUGUCCAAAAUAAAAGAAUCUGUUGAAAUCUGUAUAGUGAAAGGGCUUAUUAGCUGAGUUUUUUUCAUCUGUGCUUCAAGAAACUGGUUGAACUGAGUUUCCUCGAGAUAUGCAACUUCGGUACGGUAAAGGCUAAGUCUGAAAUAUUCUUUUGACAUUUAUUUGCUAUGCUAAUGAGGUGAUAAGUAGUAAUGCAAAUAGCAGAAGACAGAGAUUAAUGUCAAAGUUACUGCCUAACACUCCACUGAAGCCUAAAUCUGACUGCAUGUUGCAGUAAAGCCCAAAACCAUUCAAAACCAGUCUGUUGGCUGAGAUCACUCGUUACCAAACGGAAGGAACAUUUUUGCUAGUCUUCUAUAUGGAAACAUUAACAAGUUAAAAGAAUCAUUUUUCACCAUGUAAACUAAUCUACAAAAAAAUGAGAAAGUACGUAUUCGAAAUUUUUUAAGUAUCUGCAGUAGAUUGAAAGUUAAAAUACUGGAAGAAAAUAGAAAAGGUCAAUGCAAAGAAACAAAAUCCAAUUUGGAUGGUGAUUGACUAAGUCCCAGAAUCAAGGCCAUUUGUUCUUCAUGUCACCAGCGUAUUGCUUGCUUAAAUUCAACUAGAUGACUUGAUCUUGCUCUUUUACAAGUUCAUAGAUACCAGGGUUAUAUUUUGCAGCUUCCGAAUUUCCCAAGUCUCUAACUCUAAAAUAGAAGAAACUGGUGGGGGUAAAGCUCUUAGGAUUCUGCGUAAAGCCCAUUUGUUCAAAGGGUGAAGUGGGGACUGGAUUCAGUGUGAAGACAUAGAAGAAGAUACAUACAAUAAGAGCUCUUUGCUGUUGAAGUUGAAUCGUGUUCAUGGAAGGGUUCCCGUUCUUGUUCACAAUGGAAAACCAAAUUCAGAAUCCAUAAUCAUUCUGGAAUACAUUGAUGAGGUGUGGAAACAGACUCACCUGUUGCCUCAAGAUCCUUAUGAAAGAGCCCAAGCACGCUUUUGGGCUAAAUUUACUGAAGAGAAGGUGUGGACAAUUUAUUAAUGAAUGGCUACUUGAUCCUUAGAUUAAGACAGUCAAUAGAGCCGGGUCAGCCCGAACUUGAUUCGUUCGGGCCCAAAAUCCAAUGAACCCAACCUUUCAAUGAGCAGGUCUAAAAUUGAACCUAAAAAUUAGAUCCGAAUUAAAUAUGAACAGAGAGUCAAGCUUGGGCCUUAUUAGAUUUAAAUUCGAUAUAGACCUGACCCUUUAAUUACCUAUAUAUAUAUAUAUAUAAUGAUAUAUAUAAUAUUAUUUUUUGAUAGUAUAUAUAAUUAUUUAUUCAAAUAUAUUAUUAUUAAAUACUAAAUAUAUACAAAUUAUAAAAUACAAAAAUACAUCUGAAGACUCCUUUAUGAACUUUCUUGAGAGCCAAUAUUGAUAAUCCAUAACUGAAACUAAUUUUUCUUAUUGGUUUAAUAAAUUUUUGUAUUGACACAAUAUUGGUUGAUUUGUUUUUGUCUAAAAACACAAAUCAUCAAGUAUGUUUGGAUUCAAAUCAUAAAGCUAUGAGGAAGUUCCAACCGUUGAAGUUGUAUUGGCUUAUGACCCAUGUUUUAUUACCAUUUUCCAUGUAUUUUGAAUGAAUUAAAUAUAAAUACUGUUGAAAAAUUCUUGGUUUAUUUACUUUACAAGAACUGUUGCUUGUUUAUGUUUAGUUUUAGUGUUAUAAUCUUGUGAAUGUUAAAUUAAUUUUACAAUGUAAUAGUUAUAGUAAUUAUAUUAAGAAAAUUGAGGAAUAAUAAGUGAGAUUGAGCUAAACCCGAAUAAGGAUAAAAAUUCGAAUAUUUUGUGAGUUGAGUAUGAUCUUCACAUUUAUUAAUUCGAAACUCAUGAUCCGAAAUCCGAAAGUGUUACAAAUUAAAUGAGUUGAAUCUGAGCUUAUGAAAGCCCAACUCAUAUAGCCCGAUUGGCAGACCUACCUUAGAUGUGCCUUAAAUUCUAAAAAGGGCAUUUUCAAUCCAAUCCAAUUAUCACUUGCAUUCCUUAAAGUCCAAAUUAAAAAGUAAAAAUAACAUAAAAUGGUCAAUGCCAUACAAUAUCAUAAUUUUGAUGUCGUCAUGCAUGAUGUGUCUCCAUAAUAAUGGUCAAAUACGAUGAUCACAAACUAUAGCUCUUCCAACAAAGACUAUUAAAUGCCAGUGCCCAAGCACGGUAAGACUACCAAGUGUAAAUGGAAGAAAAUCAGGGAGUGAAGCUCUUGGGAUUUUGGGUGAGCCCAUAUGUUCUAAGAGUGAAGUGGGCACUGAAACUGAAGGGGAUAGAGUAUGAAUACAUUGAAGAAGACGUAUUCAACAAGAGCCCUUUACUUUUGAAGCUGAAUCCUGUUAAGGGACAAGUUCCUGUGCUAGUUCAUGAUGGAAAACCAAUACCAGAGUCAAUUGUAAUCCUGGAAUAUAUUGAUGAAGUGUGGAAACAUAGUCCGUUGUUGCCUCAAGAUCCUUAUGAAAGAGCCAAUUCUCGUUUCUGGGCUAAAUUUGCUGCAGAAAAGGUAAUUAACAUUUUUGCUUGCUGUCUUUGAUGAUCAUUACUAGAAUAACUUCCUUCGUGUGCAACUUAAUUUUCUUGAUGAAAAUCAUUUUCAAACUUCGGCUAACUCUCUACCAAUUUAAUUUGCAACCUAAACUAACUUGCCACAUGAUAGAUCAAUGUAAUAGCAGACUAGCUUAUUAGUUGCCAUAAUCUGUAUUAGUUUCAAUAAUCGUGCCUUAGUAUUUUAUUUAAAGAGUCUAUUGUUGAACAAUUGUAUCCUAAGUUAUGCUUCAUCAUUAUGUCUUGUUAAUGUAGCUUCAAGCAUAUGCAUGGGAAGCUCUAUGUUCAAGAGGUGAAGACCACGAAAGAGCCAAAAAAGCAGCUAUGGAGGCCUUGGAGAAGAUGGAAAAGGAGCUAAAUGGGAAAAAGUUUUUUGGAGGAGAUAAAAUUGGUUUUGUAGACCUUGUGGCUGGCUUCAUUUCUUACCAACUCCCCGUGUACGAGGAAAUUGUUUCGAUGAAAAUUCUUGACUCGUCAAAAUUCCCAGCUAUCACAAACUGGAUCAAUAAUUUUCUCAACCACCCCUUGAUUAAGGAAGAGUUGCCACCAAAGCAUAAGAUGCUUGCUUACUUUUCCAACCGACGCAACGUUAUACUGGUUCAGAAUUCAUCAAACGAGUGAUCAAGAACUAAAACAUGUAGGGAAUGAUAAUUUUAUGUCCUAAUAAUGUUUUCCUCUUGAUCAGUAUGUAGAAUGUGUAUUUUUGCUUUCAUUUGCCUUGGAAACUCUAUGUUCUGAUAUAUUGUAUCUACUUGAUAAUCCACUAUAUACUACAAUUUUCAUUCAAAUAAUCAAAUAAAGCAUUAGUUCUUUUUCAUUAACAGUUUGUUAAUCAUCAAAAUUAGAAUAUUAAAGACAGAACUAUCGACUACUGUCUUUUACUGUGAUGAGCACAUAAUUUUCAGGUAAAAGGAGAAAAAGAGAAUGAGAUCAGUGUUGCAUUCCAACCGAAUUGCUGAGUCUUGAGUAUUUGAGCACUUGAAAUGCAUCAUUUUAAAUAUGAUGGGCUAAAUAUAAUUUGAUAGAAAACAGAAUCAUUAAGAUAAGAUUAGUUGUUUUUUAAAGUUAUUUUAAAAUUAGAUAUAAUUUUUAAACAUAUAAUAUAAUCCAAAUAGAAUUUAAUAUGGGUAAAAACCAAGUGGCCCAGAACCCGUUAAUUCUUUUCAAUUAGGUAGGCCACGUAGAAGUGAGAAACAACUCUGAUUAAAAAUAACUACUUUCACACACACACACAUAUAUAUAUAUAUAUAUAUAUAUAUAUAUAUAUAUAGAUGGUUAGUGUUUCUUUUAUCCUGUUCAUGCUCAUGGCUUAAUUUGUAUGACAUGUUAUGAGUUAAGAAGUUCUCCUCUUAUGCAAUGAAAAUUAGUAACUUUAUUAGGCGUUUAGGACCCUGUUUGAUGUUAAUAAGAAAUUUUGAUGCAUCUAAGUCUAAAUAAUAGAAUGCUUAAGAAAAUUAAGCAUCGCUUAUUACUGGGGAAUGCUUAUAAUUUGUAGAGGAAUGUGAAUGCUUAUUACUUUUAUAAUUUUCCUGGAUUUCUCGCAUGCCAUUCUAAUGUAACAUUAGUGUCAAGAUCAGACAAGAAAUGAAGGAAGAAAUUAGGCAUAACAAAAUGGAGAAGUGUUGGAAGAAAGCUAGAAGAAAAAGAAAACAACUAGUGGUUGACGAGAGUCACGCGACUGAUGAGGGUCAACUGCAUUCUACUGUUCUUCCUUCAUCUCCUCAGCAGGUAUUAUGCACUUUUACAUCUCUGCUGUUUAUGUCAGACAAGCUUAUGGAAGGUGAGGCAUGACUAAUUUGUUCAUUGUUGGGUCCAUUGGCUUUCACUUUCAAUUUCUUGAAAGGAAAAUUGCUAUGGUCUGUUUAUCUCUGCAAUGGAACAGCAACCUUGAUGGCUUUUCAAGAGCCAAAACUGAUUACUGAUGGUCGCAAUCUACCAUUGCAUUAAAAUCUAGAUGACACAUCACAAACUUUUGUUGCUUUUGAUAUUUUCAAUUUUUGGGGAUGAUAGAGGUUUUGUGUUGCAUUUUAUGGAGGUUAUUAUAAUAGGCGCUAUGGCGAUUCAGUAGAAUUUCCAGUUCCCUUAGGUUACAGUCCUUCUCUACUCUCUAGAGAUCUUUAGGCGCCGUAUUGAUAUUUUGUGUUGAUAACUGAUAAAGCUCCCAAUCCAACCUCAACCUAUGAAGAAUUAUAAGGAAAGGGAACUUUUCAAAGUUCAUACCUCUUAUUGUGAUUACAUAAAAAGGCGUUGAUAGUUUCAACAGUCAAUAAUCCAACAAUACCGGUUGAAAAAUGGUUAUAAAUGGAUCAUCAAAAAGUUGGCAACAAUGAUAAUUACAUUGGUGGUUUUAACACUGUAAAGUGUAAAACGUGGAUCUGGAAUCAGAUUUAUGAUGGAUAGGGAGUUCUUAUCAUAAAAUGCUGAAUGAGAAGCAGACACUAUUUAGUAGUACUUUUGUUGUCAUCAAAGCUAAUGUCCUCUGGCUUUAUGCUGAAGAGGGUGUUGAUCUUGUGAUAAAAGGUACUUCUGGUGAACAAAUUCAAGAUUUCCAUGACAAGACUAGUAAGAACAUCAAGAGUCCAAGAUGCAAGUUUCUUUCCCUCUGUAUUGUCCUUCAGCACUGAAAUUGAAAUUGUGUUCUAUUGGUUUCUCAUUAGAUUAAUAGCUUUUAUUUUGGUAUGUCUAUACAGGAUAUGGCAACUCCGCCUCCAAAGCACAGAUAUCUGACUUGAAGAUCAAGUGCAGUCCCAAACCAAUGUGCAAGUUGUACGGCUUCCCCCAGAUAUUUACUUCAGAACCAAAUGGGAACUCCCAAAACAUGUUUUGUCACGGAAAAGAGGAGUCUGCUAGAGGCAAAAAAGUACGCCCCAUUCAGCAAGCAGAGAGAUACUGGCUUUUGAACAUUGUACUUCAGAAUUCCCUCGGCAAAUCAGGUAAUGCUAUGUUAAAGCCAGUGUAAAUGCUAAAUUGUUUAUGUUAGUUCAUAUCAUUUGAUUCUUCUAUGGCUGAGGAUCAGCUGAUAAUACUUUCUUCUUUGCUUCUUAUUGAGACUAAAAUUUGGAAGUACUUGGUAAUCAGGCCUGAUCAUGUACUACAAGUCUCAACUGAAUCAGAAGACUCCUCUGCUUCAAUUGGGAAGGACAGGCUAGAAGUGGAAUCUGUGUAAUCUUUAUUGUAGCUAAGAAUAACUGCAAACAUUUGGAGAAUUAGUCUAUGCAGCAAAGUAACUUGGGGUACGGGAGAGACCGCCUAAACAACAUAGAUUAAGUUCGUAUUGUACCUUUCCUUUUAUUUGAAGUUAUUUCAUGGAAGCUCCAGUGAACUUUCUACACAAAUUCUUACAGGAAUGGUGUUAUGUUAUCUUCAAGAACAUGCAGGGUAUCUUGGAGUUCCAAAACUAAAGAACAUGACUGAGCUGUAAAAUCAUCAAUAGAGGACCUGGAGGGAAUGGAACAAGAACUGAAUGGGAAAAUUUUACAUUAAUUAUCAUAGUUUAUUAUUGACUCAUGGUCACCAAACAUCAAACUUCUCGCAAUCAACGCCAGUAGUAAGGCUUGGAUUGCCAUGUCUUUACAUCCAUUGACCAUUUUAUUUUGGAAUUAGAUUCACACAUAUAGUUGGUAGACUAUGCAUGGACUAAUAUACGAUUAUUUUUACAUAAUUAGCUCAAGCAACUUCCCUUUUUCCCUGCUGAGACUGCUCACUCAAAAGCAAAGCCUCCUGUCUUCCAUACUUCAAUUCCUCAGCUUCCUCGCUGGAAAUUUGGAAAGAGCUCCUCAAAACUUCCUCAGGAAUUGCUCGCAAUGCCGAAAGUCUUCCAACGAGUGGGUUAAUCAUGGCAUUGUCGUUCGUCUUGAAUGCAACGUACUCAAAUCCUUCGUUUCCAGCUUUCUUGAUCACAGCAAAGUAUUGUGGCACAAUUAUUAGCUGACCCUGUUUUACUUCAUCGUCAAAAACUUUGUUUCCUUUGUGAUCCACCACCUGAAUUCUUGCAUUUCCUCUAAUCACAUACAGGGCACUAUGUGCAUUGAUAUUCCAGUGUGGUGCAAAAAUGGCAUUCUGCAAUUACCAAACAACAAACUCAAUCACUCAUUUCACGUAACAAAAUUUAUGUAUUAAUGCUAUUGUGUUUGCUUACGCUGUAGAGGAAUCCUCUUUCUGCACUAAGUUGGAGGCUGCUGAGGAUAGGAAUCUUUUGGCUAUUAACAGUGGUAAUGCGGCCAGCACGAGGAUUGAAUACAUCAGCCUCUUGGGGGAGGCCAAUGUUUUCACUAAGCUUCACCGUGCACAAAGUUUCCUCAAGUCCAUUGGAUCUCCAUCCUCUUCCAACACCCUGUUGUUGCUGCUCCUGCUGUUGUUGGGGUUGUUGCUCUUGCUCACUAUAUUCAGGCAGGAACAGUUGAAGUUUUUCAGCUCGGACUGUGCUACCCCUUUUAUCUUUCGGACCCUUCAAUUUCUGUAUUAUUUUGAGGUCAACAUUGAAAGCAUCAGCCAAAAGUUGGUCAUCAAAUCCUGAGAAGAUGUUUCUAUGCUGCUGCUGCUGGCCUUGAUGGCCUUCCUUUCCACCACCCUGUUGCGGGUUUCCGGCUAGGAAAAAUUUCUGAAAGUAAAAAAAAAUUUUUUUUAUUAAGAUGGUACCGCAAUAAAAUAUGCCCAGAAAGAGAUUAUUUUUUGAUUAAUACUUGGCAAGUUUGGAAUGAUAGUUUUCUUACCCUGGACUGCAAAUCAAGCUGAUUAGCCUCAUUGGCAACAUCAAGAAGUGCGACAGUGACAAGCGGAACAUCUCCAUCAUUAUAUGUCCACUGAGUGAAACCAGGAAGCAAUAUAAGGACAUCUCCUUUUUGGAACCUUCUGAGCUUCUGAUGGCGGUCUGGAAACCUUUGCCUUUGCCCUUCCUGACCACCUUUGGAACCUUCUUGCCCUUUGCCCGGCUGUUCCUGACCACCCGAAAAUGAUUCGCCCUGGGAUUCAAAUGUUUCAGCACAACCAGGGAUCACAGUGCCUUGAACACCGGUACCUGCAUUAUGCCAAAAUGAUUAAAUCAUGAAAAAAAUCAAUUAUACGAUCAUUAAGAAGAAAAUAGAGAAAAACUUCCAGAAAUAAUGGAAAGAUGGGAAAUGAAACUUGCCUUCGACAACGUAGACGAAUUUCGGCACGUUAGAGUAAUGAGGCAAACGAAGGCCCUUAGGUUGGACAGUGUUACGCUCAAAUUCCACACCAGCGCACCCAAAUUCUGGAUUAUUAGAAUCCCAGAAUUCAGUUAAACCAGCCUCUGAUGGGAACCUGAAGGAUGGUUCUUGUGCAUUAAGCUUCUGAAUAUUGCACUGAGUUUUACCCCCGAGCCUUGGCUCUGGUCUCCCUAGUUGAGCCAAACAGCCGAGGAACAAGAGAAGAACGUACGAGGAAAGAGAAAUCAUAUGAGAGUGAGCCAUUCUCUGACAACAGAGGAGAGUGUAGUGUGUUUUUGUGGUGAGGGGAUGCGGCGAUUAGAGCUUGGAAAUGGCUCCUUUUAUAACAUGUAAUGGAAGAUGAGGAAUCGACACGUCAAAAUUUUCAUUUUACACUUGGCUACUCAGUCUUGUGCAUGGCUGAUGAAGAGGAACACUUCUUUACACCAAGGAUGAUGUGUAAGCCUUGGUGGCAAUGAGUUUCUGACAUGUAUUGUUCAAUCCUUUUGUGUUUGUAUUUGCAUGAAAUUUUUGUACUUUAGCAAUGGCAUGGUAAGGUGCAUUAUCUGCUACGAUGGCUUUUGAUGAAUCAAACCCCAAAUCAAACACACAUUCAUCUUGGGAUCUUUCGAGAUGUGAUAUGGAAAGAUGAUCACAACUGCUGCGUAUUACAUCACACCUAUCAUCUUCUGCUUUUAAGUUUCUAGUACCUAUCUAUCUUCAUCGAUUUUUAUUCACCUUUAUUGAAGACAAUUGGUUUUCACUUCUAGGCAAAUGACUGUUGCAGUUCAUAAUUUCAAUGCCUGGAAUAAAUAUCUGUUAAACAAUUACCGUUUCUAGUCUAGUGGCACGUAAUUAAAGGCAUUCUACAGGGAAAUUCCAUGAUUUAAAAUCUUUAUUAGCAAACAAAAGGCAGCCAAUCCAUGUUGGAUCAAACUAAAAGAUAGAGCCAGAAACCCAAUUUGACAUGGAAUAGAGUUUUACGUCUAACAAUUGAAUUGAAUUAUGUUCUUGAAAAGGUUGCUCAUCUACAUCGUUUUCCGCUGUAAUACAUCAAUAAACCAGCUGUAUCGUGACCCAUUGUAUCUGCCGCUUGGGUAGAGGUUAAAUCUCCCUCUAUGCAUUUCCUCUAUCCUUCCCCUUGUAGGUAGGCUUGAACUCCAAAAGAAAAGAGAAAAAAAAAGAAAGUACGAAGUUGAUUCCACUGACAUUUGUAUCAAAUUCAAUAUUUGAGCAAUAAUGAUCAUCAGCUUCUAGAAAUGAUCCAAGUCCAAGCUAUUGAUUCCAGCCUCCCAUAGUGUGUCUGAACAAAUUUCAAGAUGGUGAUAUGAUAGCCAAAUCAUGGACAAAAAAAGUUGCUUGGGAAGACUGUCUUAACCCCAGUUCCAGAGUUAGAUCAAUCAAUGGUUCUCUAAUCUAUUCCAUUCUAACAUUGUUUAGUUGAGUUUUUGUCUAUGUGUAAUUUCAGUUUCAAUUAAUUACUCAACUUUGCAUGUUUAGUGUUAUAAUCAUUAGUGCUUUUGGUACACCGAUGGUGCUCAUUUCAAAAAUAUGUAAUUAAUAAUUUUUAAUAAUCCACUAUUAUAUGUAGAAUCAUGUUAGAGCAUAUAUAUGCUUUUCUCAAAAUUCAUAGAUAUGAUUCUUUUUUGAUUUUUUAGGAAAUUAUUGUACUUAAAAUCAUGGUAAAGAAAUAGAGUGGAAGUGAGCUGAUAUGCUUAAGAUCAUGGUUGGAAGAGGUGGUGGACCCAAAUUGAUAAAUACACAAAACCCACAGAAACAAUAAAAAAAAAACGAUAUUGAGGCACAGGAAAAUUUUCUAUUAAUCAUAACAAGGCUCUGGCUACACUAUGCAAAACACAACGGAGGUUACUACUUCUUCUUAAGGCUAAAAGACGGACGCAACGGCUACACAUCAAAACCCCUUGGCGGCUAACUUCUAUUACUAACUCUGCUAGUCAUAAGAAAUUCAAUCCCAUGGGAUCACCCUACCAACCAACAAUACUACUUACCAAUCCCACAUGACAGCAUAAACAAAUAAUAAAGGCUUGGUUUGUGUUUCUAUAUUGCCUCCAUUAAACCAGUCUCCUCUAACUUGGACAUACCUAACAUAUUCUUCAACUCGACAAAAAUCUCUAUCUUCAAUAUCUUGGUGAAAAAUGUCAGCCGCUUACUAUUUAAUUCUGCAAUAAUCAAUUUCAACCUCUCUCUAUCUCGAACCAACUCACGUGUGAAGUGAUAUUUGAUACCAAUAUGCUUGUUACAUCCAUGAAGUACUAAAUUCUUGGACAACUCAAUAGCUGACUUACUAUCAUAAUAAAUUUUCGUAGGAUCAACCUGCUUGUAUUGUAGAAUACCAAACAUGCAAUGUAACCAUAAAACUUGAUUAGCACUAUUAGCUGCUGCAAUAUACUCUGCCUCCGCUAUAAACAAUGCAAUCACCUGUCGUUUCUUUGAACUCAAGGAAAAUAAGUCAGAACCAAUAAAAAAUGCAUAACUUGAAGUACUCUUCUUCUCUAUUGUAUCACCUGGUCAAUCACUAUCAGUGUAGCCAAACAAUUCAACUGGAUAAUUUUCUGAAUAUAAAAUGCCAACACUGCGAGUACUUUCAAUAUAUUUCAAAAUUCUCUUAACCGCCUGCAAAUGUGACUGACGUGGAUUUUUCAUAAACUUGUUAAUCACACCAACAGCAAAAUUGAUAUCUGGCCUCAUAGACGUCAAAUAUCUCAAAUUUUCUACCAAACUUUUAAAGUAGGUAGGAUUUACAUAUCCAUAACUGUUAUAUUCUUCCUGUCUGCCACUCCAUUUUGUUGGAAAAUGUACCUGGUAGUCAAUUGAUGAUGUAUCACAUUUUUUUCAAAAAAAAUCAUCACACAACAAAUAUUCCUGACCCCUAUUUGUUCUCAAAAUUUUAAUUUGAUACCCACUUUGUCUUUAACAAAAGUUUUUAAAAUUUUAAAAAUAUCACAGGCAUUAUAUUUUUGUUUCAAAAAAUAUACCAAGACUUUUCUACUGAAAUCAUCAAUAAAGGUAAUAAAAUACCUGCAACUACCAUUAGAAGAAACCAUAGUGCACAAGUCUGAGUGAAUAAUUUCCAAUGAUUUUUUGGCCCUCCAUGAUAUGUCAAUCUAAAAAGCAUCCCUCUAUUGCUUUCUCAAAACGCAUAUAUCACAGACUCUAAUAGGAUUUCUAGUAUUAGGCAAUCUACCAACCAUUUUUUUACUGGUCAAAAGUUUGAAAUUGUCAAAAUUCAAAUGGCCAAAUCAUAUAUGCCAUAACUAAUUACUAUCUUUUAUCACCAUAUUCAAACAAAAAAAUUGAUAGAACUCAAAUUCAAUGCAACUAAGCGAUUUGAAAUCAUUGAUACACUAGCAAUUAUUCCAAUAUUUUUUAUAAAAAAUGGUACAAGUACCAUUCGGAUACUAAUAUCAUUUUUUUUUUCUCAGAUAAUUGGCUUAUACUCAACAAAUUAUGAUGCAACCCAAGAACAUAGAAAACAUCAGAAAAAAAUUAGUAGACCCAUUUUUCAGACUAAUAGAAAUUUUUUCAAAUUUUACUUCACCAUGGACAGAUACAUCAAGUUCAACAAAUAAUUCUUUCUUGCCAGAUAUACCGUUACUGCAACCCGUAUCCAAGUAUCAUUUAUUUUUAUUAACUAGAUCAACAGCAUUACAGGCUAAUAAUGAAGUCUCAAAUUUUUUAUUAUUAUUCUACAUCUGAUUGUCAACAACAUUAGAUUGAAAAUUUCUAUCUUUUUUUUUUUCAAAUCUACAUUCAAUUUGUCUAUGACCCAAGUUUUCAUAAUUAUAGCAUUGAAUACUCUGUCCAAAAUUAUUCUAAUUGAAAUUAUUUUCUCUGCCAAAAUUACCAUCUCUGUCUCUAUCAAAAUCACCUCUAAAAUUAAAAUUAUUACCUCUACCACGUUUAAGAUUUAAUGUAUCUUCUCGACCUCUAUUAUUGUUCCUAUGACCACCUCUGUUAUUGUGACCACCUCUAUUAUUAUAACCAUCCCUGUUCAUCUGCUUGGAUUCACUUUGCUCUCUAACAUUAUUAUUGUCUUUCAAAUUCAGUUACAUAUGCAAUGCCUUCUCUACUGUAUCCAUCUCCGGGAUAUCCUCCAAUUUCUUCUUAAUUCUUUGUUCAUGCAGAAUUAAUGAUCCAUCCAAAUUUUCAAUAUUCAAAUUCUUCAAAUUUUUUAUUUCCUAGAUUAUAGCUACCACAUGAUCCAAUUUCGUGAGUAAGGCAUUGAAAACUUUUUCAACAAAUGUUCUAUUUGGAAAGUUAUACUAAUUAAGUUUUAUCUCGUUUUUAAUAUCUUACAAACGAAAAAAAAUAUAAUUCAAUAGAUUCCGACUUCUCUAUAGUCACACAUUCGAAUUUCCUGUUCAACAUCAUCAAAUUAUUUUGACGAAUCCUGUCAAUUCCUAUGUAUGUUUCUUUCAAUAUAUCCCAAGUCUUCUUUGUGUAUUAGCCGUAGCAAUUUUUUCAAAAACUAACAUGUCAAUUGCCUGAUGAAUCUGUGACAAAGCCAAGUUAUCUUUUGCCUUAUCAUUCUCGCUAGCAUUUUGAGCAAGUGUAGAUUCAAUAUAUCGUAAUUUACAUGCCUUAAGAUGAGUUAUCAUCUAUUUCUACCAAAAAUUGAACUUUGUUGACAAAACAGACAAUAUUGGGGUUUGGAUUUGCCAUACUUCAAUCUAUCAUAAUUCUGGUACCACUCUGAUGGACCCAAAUUGAUAAAACCACAAAAUCCACAAGAAUAAUUAAAAAAAUGAUAUUGAGGCAAAGGGAAUUUUCUAUUAAUCAAACAAGGCUCUGGCUACCCCAUACAAAACACAACGAAGGCUACUACUUCUUCUUAAGGCUAAAAGACGGACGCAAAGGCUAUAUAUCAAAGCCUCUUGGCGGCUAACUUCUAUUACUAACUCUACUGAUCAUAAAAAAUUGGGUAAAAAACAAAAAAGUCCCCUGUGGUAAGUUUAAUACACAGAAAAGUCCCAUAUGGUUUCAAAAUAUAGAACACGACACCUCAUGCUUUGAAUUAAAUUGUAAAGGUAACAGAAUCUGUUAAAUUUAACGGAAAUGACUUAUUGGAACUUUAAAAAAAAAAUUAUACCUAAUUUUUAUCAAAUAUACCUAUUCUACCCCUUAACCCUCAAUUCUCUCUAUUUAGAGAAUAAAACAAAUGAUUUUUUUGAGCUGUCUUUUGCUUAAUUAUAUCAGGGCAUUUUGGUCAUUUUGUCCAUUUCCUUUAAGUUUAACAGAUUCUGUCACCGUUACAAUUUAGUUCAAAACAUGAAGGGUCGUGUUAUAUAUUUUGAAACCAUGGGAGACUUUUCUGUGUAUUAGAUUUACCAGAGGGGAUUUUUUUGUUUUUUACCCUAAGAAAUUCAAUCCCAUAUGACCACCCUACCAACCAACAACACUGCUACCAAGCCACUAACGUCACACGAAAAUAUAAAUAAAUAAUAAAGACUUGGUUUGUAUUUCUAUAAAAAGGACAAAAUAAAAGUAAUUUGAAAACUAAUUUUAGAGAACGUUUUUAGUAUAAUAUCAAGUGAUAUGUAUGAUUUACACCAAAGAAAUUCUCCCAUUAUAUAUAGUAUAAAUAAUUAGAUGAUUAUGUGUUUUGAUUUGGUUAAAGUCAUGUUCGAAGCCAAGCACCACGCAAGAAAACUCGAAUGGAAUAUACCACGCAAGUUCGAGAUACAUAUAUCAUGGAAAUCCUUGUGUACAAACAUCUCAUCUUGAGAAUUUACAAUUUGUAGCCAUAUAUGGGCUAAUUUCUCAGAUUAUUUGCAUUUAAAAAAAACAACCGUCAAAUACACCUUUGUCAGGGUCGUUUCUAAUUGUAUAGCAGCCGUGCUGAUUGGGCACGGUCCCAUGACAAAAAGUUUGACCGAAUGUUCUCUGCAAAAAAUUCAGUGGUGCACGGUAGGUGUCAGACAGGGAUGUGCUGAUUGGGCACGUCCCGAACUGACAGAAAACUGAGUCGGUCAAAUUAGCUGUCAGAUCGGGACGUGCUGACUGGGCACGUCCCGGCUGACUGAAACUGACCAAGUCUGGGCAUUGUCCCCGGCUAACAGAAAACUGGUUCGUCUGGGCAUGAGAAGAUUCUUGGAUAUAAAGCCUCCUCCUAGCAUGUCUUACAGAAAUGUGCAAAAGCUUCUUGUUCUUAUCCUCGAAGAGAUUACAACCUGUAUAUAGUGAUUUCAUAGCAGAUGAAACUCGUUGUCAAUUAACUUUAUCAAAUGGUCCCUGAAAUGAUGUUUCGGGUCCAUUAUGGAAAAACUCUAAAUGCAAAAGCAACAUAUCCCACUUAAUAGAGAGUUUGGCUAAACUAAAAGACAGUCCUACAAGACAAAUGCAAAUUCUUAAAACAUCACUUUUUUUUACUAACCUUUUAUUCAUAAUCUACUCAAAUUUAGGCUAAUUAGACUACCAAAGUGAUUAACAAAUCUACAAACAAAAGAUUAUUCAGUCUAGUUUUUAAAGUUGUUAAAUUAAAAUUCUAAACUUAAUAAAUUUACUAAAACCCCUAAUUAUACCUGAAAAGUCAGAAUUAAUUCACAAAAAUACGCAUUAUCAUCAUAAAGAAAGGCCAGAACUCUAAACAUGAGAAAUUUAUCCAUUUUUGGCACAUGUUGAGACCCUAGCACAAUUAUGCAAAAGUUAGGGGACAAAUUAUAAAUAUAAAUUAUGGACUUAGAUCAAAAUAAGUGAACAUAAGAACAAUGUGUAUAAUUUUCAGAAAAUUAAACAAUGCCUAAAACAUAUAAAAUAUGUAAAGCUGCAUAUUAAAAACAAAACAAAGGAAAAAUAAAAAUAAAAGUUUGGUUUUUAAAUGUUGGGUUAAAAACCAAGAAAAGAAUGGAAACAUAAAACUAGAGCUAAAUGCCCAGACGAACCAGUUUUCUGUCAGCCGGGGACAAUGCCCAGACUGGGUCAGUUUCAGUCAGCCGGGACGUGCCCAGUCAGCACGUCCCGGUCUGACAGCUAAUUUGACCGACUCAGUUUUCUGUCAGUUCGGGACGUGCCCAGUCAGCACGUCCCUGUCUGACACCUACCGUGCAUCACUAAAUUUUUUGCAGAGAACAUUCGGUCAAACUUUUAGUCAUGGGGCCGUGCCCAAUCAGCACGGCCGCUAUACAAUUAGAAACGACCCCUGACAGAGGUGUAUUUGGCGAUUGUUUUUUUUAAAUGCAAAUAAUCUGAGAAAUUAGCCCGAUAUAUGUACAUUUUUAUUUGCACAUACUUGCUCAGUGACAAUUGAAUUGUACACAUGAAGCUUGCAAUGUCCAUAAAAGCAUACAUAUCCGUGCUUGUACCCCAUUUUAAUGAAAAAAAUUCAUGAAAUUCAAGUCGCACUACCCUUUUUUCUAAAUUUCAUCAUCGUUAAUUUGAUCAAUCAAAUAUUUUGAUUUCCCAUCGACAUUUUCCAUUAACAUUUAAUUAAAUACUAACAUCAAUUUACACAAAGAAUUGUAAUCCAUGCUUGAUAGUCCCAAUAAUUUAUCCUCUCUAGUCAUCAAGUUACAAUUCCCGCAAUCAUAAUAAUAAUCUUGGCUUGCGCGACAGUUGAACCGGUCAAUAUUUUGGCCAGACCGAAUUGGCAGUUGGACUUAAAAAUGAAGUAACUCGUUGACUAAUUAAUAAUUCAUCAGUUCAAUUAGUAAAAUUUAAAAAUUUGAUCGAUCCAAACACGAUCGAUGUCCGAUUGGGUUUAAUAACUAUACUUGCAAUGAUUAAUAAUUCAACGAUUCAAUUAGCAAAAUUUAAAAAUUUGAUAGUUUCAAGCACAGGUUUAUUAACUACGCUUGCAAUGAUUAAUAAUUCAACGGUUCAAUUAGUAAAAUUUAAAAACUUGAUAGAUUCAAACAAUAGAUGAUGUCCGGUUGAAUUUAAUAACUACGCUUGCAAUGAUUUAACAUGGCAGCAAAUGUACUUUGUUUUGAAUCAACUCAGCUACUCCAUGAUUGAAAAGAUUUUUUUUUUUUUUUUACUAAUUAGACUUGAACUCCAAGAAACAUUUGUAGUAAUUAAAAAAAUGAAGGGUGAGUACCGAAAUAAAGAAAACAUGACACGAAAAAGUAAAAAGAUAACUACCCAUUACUCCUACAACACUCUCUAUCGCACACAGUAAUGGCUUCAUCCUCGUCGAGCUCGUCUGCGAUUUUCAGCUUCGUCUCCAACCCCACCGCCACUCGUAGUCUCCCUCGGCGUCACUUCACGCGGCAACAUUUCGCUUCAUCCCCAAAUACCAGAAAGAAAUUCCCCAUUUUUACUCAGAAAACGGCUAGUAGACGAACCAAUACAGCAAUAACAGCAAAACUCGGACAGAAAAGCGCUCUGGAGUAUAGGAAACUCGGAGAUUCCGACCUUAUUAUUAGUGAAAUCACGCUUGGCACCGUAAUUAUAAGCUUUCCACUCUUCUCGUCUGUUAUUUGUUAGUUUUACUGUUUUAUUGAGUUACCAAGGAAAUGCAAGAAAAAUCUUGAGUUUCUUGUAGCAUAUGUGGCGUUCAUCUCUUGUUGGUUAGUCGAGAAAUUGAAUUUAGCUUGCACAAUUGUUAAAUUGGAUGGAACCCAGUACAAAAUACAAAUAGGAUAAGAUUACAAGGGGUGGUUUGGUGCAAAAUUUGAUUCCCAACUCCCAAGUCCUAACUUAGUUAACCGAGAUGAAGUGGGAAUGGUGUCCAUGCUUGAUGGUUUACUCUUGAUUGUGGAACUAAUAGAACUAUGAUCAGGAAUUAGGAUUAAAUGUGAGAAACAACUUCAAACGGGGGUAUACAAUGCGUGGUUAUUUUGCAUCUUGCUCUGCUGGGGCAUGCAUCUAUUACCUUUGUACUCUUAAUGUGUUUGGUAAUAAAUUUUACUCUUUAGUUUCAGAAGCCUCUGAUUCCCUCAGUGGUAAAAGUACUAGAAUAUCCCCUUGGCCCAUAAAUGCUAUACUGAAAGUUUUGAGCUUGAAACCAAUGGCCAAUUGAACAAACAGUCUCCUUAUCAAGGCCUAAGUCCAGAUUUUAGCUGUGUACUAUGUUACUCUAAAGACUGAAUUUUGACACAAUCCUCAAUCAUCUGUAUGUGCCUGGAUGUCAAAUUUGGUUUCUCCUUCACCGUCUCCCUACAGUUACCCCUUCCUUAAUAUAGGUGGAGACAGUGAUAAGUGUUGUUGUGCUACAAGUCAUUUUGGGGAGAGGGGUUCUUCCCUGAUAUACUGCAAUGGUUUGCUAAAAUUUCUUUCUUCUAUAUUUGUAAUUUGGCAGGCAGUAUUCAUUCCGUGGUAAGAACACUAAAUUACAAUAGAAUCACUAAUAGAAGUAAAAGCUUUUGCUUUUCUGUGUUUAGAUGAUUUUGAUCCUGACAUCAUUCAUCCAUGCAAUAUUUCAGAUGACAUUUGGACAGCAGAAUACAGAGAAAGAGGCACAUGAUAUGCUUAAUUAUGCGUUCGAUAAUGGGAUAAAUGUCUUAGAUACUGCAGAGGCUGUAAGCUAUUUGAUACUUAUGUCUUAAAGUAUUUUCUUGCUACAAAAAACUGCAUCUGGAAGAAAUCAUUAAGUCUCAGAAUAUACUUCACAAUAAAACAUUUUCCUGAUCAUUAUGUUCGAUGUCACUCUAUGGAGCUUUGCCAUUAAGGAUCUGUGUCUGUACUUGUGUUGUGUUUCACAUGAAUUCACUCUCUUUUAGUGCAUUGGAACUUUUCAGUUUUUGCCUAUCUAGGAGCUCAACUUUGUUAACCAAAACCUUGAGGGUUGGCUUUUCCAAAGAAAUUGAACUUGGCUAACCAAGUGGUAGACCUUUUUACCUUUGAGUUUGAUUUCUCUUUAAGCAAAGUUUUCUGGAUAUAAGUGGUGGAGUGAUGAGCCAAUCUUCCAGUGAAAUUUCUUUUGGAUGGAUCUUAUGUUAUAAGAAGCUUGUCACUAAUAGUGAUAUUUUGUUCUUUGAAAUUGUAAAAUUCAAUCAAUAAUUCCCCUUUAUGUUCAUUUACUCUACCAUAGACACCAAGUUCCCAUAUAUAUCUUACUUGUGGUGUUAUUCUUCCAUCAAUCUCCUAAGUACCCAAUUCCAACAAGGAAGGAGACACAAGGGCUGACAGAUCGCUAUAUUGGUAGCUGGCUGAAGUCUCAACCCCGUGACAAGGUACUAUAUUCAUUUGUCCAGGAAAUUUUUUUCUCUGCUUUUUUGAUUUCCCAAUCAGCAGUCAUAAUUUUGACUUUGUAGAUGUGCCUUUGGUUUUUCAAUAUCAUCACUUGGUAGCCUGUCUAUUCGAUAAUGUGGUCCCUUGUCCAAAUGCAUGGCUAUGCUUGCUUAGAUCUUGUUUCGUGCAGGUCAAAAUUCCAGCAAUAUCUUUUUGGUGGAUUUGCUUAACAUGAAUGUUUUUUUGUUUGAAUUUUCUCUGAAAUUCUGCAUUUUUCUGAGAAUUUAAAUAAAGAAAAAUUAUUAGUGUGUUCUGGUCCAAGCUAAAUCAUUAUUGUUAACAGUUGCACCGAUUGCUAAAUCCUUAUGAUGCUACUCAGUCUGUAAUUUGUAAGUGGGCCUUUUUGACAGUGGUUUUAGGCUUGUUUAGGUACCCAUUUUUGAAUAUUCUAAGGAAGGCCUUUUGGUAUUCAAAGAGAUGUUUUUCCCUUGAUCCAUUUCCAGUUCAUUUGACAAGGUUGCUUUUCUAGCUACAAGAAAAUGAUGUGACAGGAUGGAUUUGGAUUCUUGCUAUUGUUAUUAGAGUCGAAAUUUUUUGGGGGUAGUCUCUCCAAAUUAUUGCUUCCUGUUCUUAACCAUGAACUUAAAUAAACAUCUGUUUUUUGCUCUUAAUAAACUUCUGUUAAACCAAUUAUGUUUUCUUUUAUCCAGUUUCAUGUGAUAUUUUUGUCAGGACUAAACUGAUUAUGUUAAAGCUUUCUUUUUUAUUUUAUCUUUUCUGAAGUUUUUGUUUUCCUGAACCUUGAUAACCUGCUGUUUUUUUUCCUACACAGACACUGAAUGUUGAGAUAGUCAAUCACCAUGUUUACUGUAUUUAAAUGCUACUCAUCAUUUUGAACUGUGGGCUGCCAUAACUUGAAGUUACAGUGUCCUAAUCAAUGACUAGGUUAUCGUGGCAACAAAAAUAUCUGGUUAUUCGGAGCAGCGAAGCUUUUUAAGGGAGAAUGCAAAAGUUUUGAGGGUUGAUGCUGCUAAUAUAAAAGAAAGUGUAGAAAAAAGUCUUCAACGUCUUGGUACUGACUACAUCGAUUUACUCCAAAUACAUUGGUAAGCAAUUAUACUUACCAGCAUUGCACGAUCAAUUUUUUCGAACUCUAAUUUUGUUUGACACUACUCAUUGGUUACCUUCUUCAGUGAAAAUCUUUAUACCUAUCUUAACUCUUUAAGUGUGACAUAUUUCAGUUUAUCUUUGGUAAUUUUUUGACUUAAAACAUACAAAUGAACCUUAGAACCAUAAAAGUGGCAAUCACUGGAUAAAGCUAAAUCUGUCAAUAAAUGUGAAAUGCUAUGUCAACAUCCUAACCCCCUAAACCCGCCUCGCCUGGCAGGGGUCCCCUGGCUGGGAGAAAAUAAAGUAAAAGAAAAAGAGGGCAAGGUGCGAUUAUUUACUUUUAACUAAUUCCAAGUCAACUCAAGAACCCAAUCCACUUUGAUUACAAUUCAGGUCGUCUCUUCAUUGUUUGCAUGCAACUGCAUUGACAGGCAAGUCAAAUUUAUUUUUACCAUUGCUUGAUUGGUAAAUGGCUGUACUAUUUUAUGGUCAGGAGGGAUAUAGUUGUAUCUGAAAGAGAGUUAGAAUUUAGAAGAAAGUUUUAGCACAUGCAAGGGAUUUAACUGCAAAAUGGAAGAAAGCAACUAGACGUUAUUAUAAGGGUUGGACGUAGACGAGGCUAUAUGGCCCUUAAUUUUGUCCACACAAAAGUGCAAAUGGCCGCCGGCUUUAUAGAUAUCCUUGGGAUUGUUUCCCAAGUGUAUGUUGGCUAGAAUUUUGAAUUUUUCAUAAUCUGGGUCUGUGACAGAGUAUUUAUCCACUGGACUAAUCAAGCCAAAGCGGUCUUCUUGGUCUGCAUAUCUCAUAAAAUAUUUAGCAGAUGCUUAUUUAUAGUCAGAAGGCCGUUUCAUAAAUGUGGCUCCUGAAUUGUUAUGCUGCUGUUGUAUCCUGCAUUCAUAAUACAGCACAAAUGCUAUGAUCUACUGCUAUUGGCAGGCCAGCCUAUUAUGAUGGGGUAUUUAUUAGAAUACUGAUAUUUCUAUUGAAAAUUGAAGAAGAUUAAAGGUUUUACUGAGGUUCCCAAAAUACUGAAAAUAGAGAAACUGCUUGAAAAAGUGACAUUGAGUAGAUCUUAUAGAACUCAGAUAUUGAUGAUGAUGGUGGUGGUGGUUGUGGAGAGGGAAUUAUUGGGAGUGAAAGAUGCUGGCGCAGCUUGUAUGGUUUGCUUUGUGGUUGCUCUUCUACUUUAUUCUUCUCUUAUCAUACGUCCAUGAACAAUGUUUCUAGAAGGGAAAGAGAAGAAGGAAAGGGAGGGGAAGGACCGGGAGGAGUUUAAGAAGCAAAAAGGUAGGAUAAGGAGGGGGGGAAAAGCCUUGGAGUCUCCCCUUGAAGCAAAAAAGUAAAAAAAAAAAGAUAGGACAAGAAGUGGAAGGAAAUUAGAAAAAAGACAAAAGGAAGAAGAAGCCGAUUUAUGAGAAAUCCAUUUUGAAGUCAGCUUUUGAAAGAUGAUUUAAAGUUGGAUUUUUUAGAAGUCUAUUUUGCAAUUUUGGGAAGCUGAAUAAAACCAACAAUAGUUCUUUAAUUUCCAAUAAAAAAUCAAUAUUCUGGUAAACAACCCCACCUCAUUAUGACUUCUUUAUAUCUUCUCUACUUCUCUUCUUUGAAGCAGUGGAGCUCAUUUUAUAAGUUUAAAGGGAUCACCUAUUAGUCCUGCAUAAUGGAAUAUUGAGUCUACAUUUAACCUAUUUAUUAAACCUGUUCAUCUAAAACAUCUUCCUGCACCAUUCAGGGUUUACCUUCUUGUCAAAUACACAAAUUUCAUGAAUUCUUCUCCUAUAUGUCUGCAACAAAAUGGCCCCCUCUCAGAUUUGAGAUAAUAAUUAUACUUUUGUCUCAGGCCAGACCGUUAUGUUCCCCUGUUUGGCGAGUAUUUUUAUGAUCCUUCAAAAUGGAGGCCAAGUGUUCCUUUUGUCGAACAACUGACAGCAUUCAAAGAACUCAUUGUCGAAGGGAAGGUACCAGAAAGCACAAGUUUCGUAUUUAGUUUACUUAAACAUUGUCUUUGCAUCAUAAAUGAGUUAGCAAUACCUGCUUUACACACUUGAAUGUUUAUCUCUAGAGCCCCAAUCUUUGAAUAAACUUGUCAAGCAUUACUAUAACUAUGAAUGGGAUUCUCUGGGCUAAUCUACUGGAUGUAAAGAAGGAAUUUCCAACAGCUUUAUUUUUAGCAUGCACAACUUCAUUUUUGUCCCUUUUUUGCUUUGCUUCUUCUGCUUCAGUUUGUGUCUCUUUGGCAAUAACAGAGAAACCUUUUCAGGUACGACAUAUUGGUGUUUCAAAUGAAACUUCAUAUGGAGUAAUGGGAUUUGUUCAUGCUGCUAAAGACAAAGGAUUACCAAAGAUAGUUAGUAUUCAAAACAGCUACAGUCUGCUUGUAAGAUGUAAAUUUGAGAGUAAGUUAUCUUCUGACUCUGUCUCAUUUUCUAUCAUCGUUAAUAACUAAAAUACGUUAUUUCUGACUGUCAUAGCUUGGAUCUUCUUUGUUUAAAUGCUACUUUUAGAAAUACAUGUUCCUUCCAUCAGAGCCUUGACUAACUAGUUGCUUUUCCUUUCUUCUGUAAUCAUUCAAAAGUUCUUCAAUCCUGCCAUAACACAGAUUUAUAAUAUUCUCAAACAGCAAUAACUUUGAGGAGAAUUGUAUAUUUGCGUGUGAUACUUUUAGGUUUUACAUUGUAUUUGAUUCUUCGCAGUUGAUCUUGUUGAAGUAUGCCAUCCAAACAACUGCAACAUCAGCUUACUUUCUUAUUCUCCACUGGGUGGUGGUGCGCUGACUGGAAAAUACUUGGAUAUCAAUUCUGAAGCUGCAAAGAAAGGAAGACUCAACCUCUUCCCAGGGUAUAUGGAAAGAUACAACAAAUCCAUUGCCAGGGUAUGUGUUAUUUGAGUUUGAUAAAGCACGGAAAAUAGCUUUUUACCUGUCUUUGCUUGUAAGGAGAAUAUCAGAUUGAGAUGCAAAUUUAUGCAGAAAAUGCACAUGGUAUAAUCAUCUUCCUGCCCUCUUACAUGCCUCAAAAACUUUUGACUAGCAAUUCAUAAUUUGUAAUCAUUUCUAUUGAUUUUUUUUUUGGUCAUGGCUUGUAGAUGUGAAAAAUAAAUGUUAGUCACGAAAUUAUUCGUGCUUUUUCUCAGGCACAUGUUGAUGACUUUGGGUGAGAAUUGAGAUAUAAAACUUAUUCUCAAUGUCAAAUAAACAAGGCAAAAUUUUCUUAAUAGUAUAAUUUGCUGUAACUUCUAGAUAUGUUCCACUAGUUCAAAUUUUUGUGCCGUGUUCUUCACUUACUUUUGCCAUGAUGAAAGUACGCAACCAUUCAUCUUUUUGACACUUGAGCAACAAAACUGCUUUUAGUAUACUUCUAUCCAGAAUAGCCUUCAGUUCAGCCACAGCAGUUCUACAUUUGUUUCCACAAAAGGCUACUUAUUCUUCUGAAGAGAUUACAAUUCUAUUCACAAUGACAAAUCCAUGUAUUUUUGAUACCAUUCUUUCUAGAUCAUGCACUAAUUCUUUCCAAAUAUUUUAUUCCUUUUUUCACGUUAAAUGAGCAUUUUCCAUGUGAGUAUCUAGCUCAUGUUUGUAUGUUGGAAUUACAGGAAGCAACAGUACAGUAUAUGGAAGUGGCCAAGAAACAUGGGCUUACGCCUGUAGAGUUAUCUCUCGGUUUUGCACGAGACCGACCAUUUAUGACAAGCUCAAUUGUAGGUGCGACUUCAGUGGAUCAAUUGAAAGAAGAUAUCGAUGCAUUUUUGACAGUUGAGCGGCCUUUGCCACCUGAAGUGAUGGCUGACAUUGAAAGCGUCUUCAAUAGAUACAAAGAUCCUGCAAUUCUUUAGAUGAGGUGCUUCACAUGAAAAGUUUCACUAAAUCCUUCUCCUCUAAAACUAAGUUGCUGCUGAGGGGAUGCAUGACUUGCAUAUUCUGCCUUUUUUUCCUGAAUGGUUCGGGCGGCUUCGAGCAAGCUCCAAACUCUCAAGCCCGACAUGAUUUUACUUCUUUGUCUUCUCAAGGCGAAGCUAUUCUUUGGGGCUUCUUUGGUAUUGCUACAGAGAGAUACAGUUUGCUUCGUGUAUUAAUAGGACUUGUAUUUUGAUCUUUGGUCAAUAUAAGCGUACGCUAUUCUUUUCACCCUGAGCUUUCUCGUUCUUGCAUGGCAGUUCAUUUUUCUCCUUUGGGUUUUCUCGUUCUUGCAUGGCACUAAAGAUCACAUGCAAACAUAAGAAAUCACGUUUUGUACUUUUAGCUUUUAAAAUUAUUAGUGCCAUUAUUGUAUAUAUUGAGGAAAUUUCAUUUAUUAAUAGUUAGUGAUUGACUAAUCUUUAAUGUUGAACAUAUUUGGUUCCGAGAAAACAACAUAAUUACUUGUAAAGUGUAAACUAUUGGCACCAUAAUUAGUAGAAGUAGUAGUAGUAUAGAAAUUAUCAGGGUAAAAAACCAAAAAAUUCCCUGUGAUUUGACAAACAUUUAAUUUAACUUCUUCUGGUUUGAAAAUCUACACUAUAACUCCCUAUGAUUUUGAUUAAAUUGAAAAUUGGACAUAAAACAUCAAAUCUAACGGUUGUGUGUGAAAUGUCAAUAUUGUCCCUACUAUACGUGAGAUGCUUUUCAUUCAAUUUUCAAUUUAGUCGAAAUUAUAGGAAGUUAUAGUAUAAUUUUUUAAAUCACAGGGAGUUAAAUUGAACAUUCAACAAACCAUAGGGAGUUCAUUUACAUAAGGGCAAUAUUGAUAUUUCACAUCUAACCGUUAGAUUAGAUGCUUUCCGUCCAAUUUCAAUUUAGUUGAAACAACAGAGAGUUAUAAUGUAGGUUUUCAAACUAGAGGGAGUUAAAUUGAAUAUUUAGCAAAUCACAAGAAAUUUUUGGGUAUUUUACCCUAAUUAUCAUCCCAAAAUCUAUUUAAAAAAAUCUACUAGCAUGGCUAUGAAAAUAUUUCCACGCGUCAUAUGAAAAAGGUGUCAUUUAAGAGAUUUUCGAAGGGCAGUUUUUAUAAGGUGGUUAAGAGGACCAAAUAAGCGCGCCAAAGUCGCUCCCCAGUCCAUUGAGCUGCAAACGUUCUCCUAAACUUGUGUCACUUUCUCUUUCCUUACCUUCUCUCUCUUCAACUCCCUCUUCUUCUUUGCUAUGUUUGAUCUGUUCUGACAACGUAAAUCUCGAAACCCUUUUCGUAUUUCGAAGAAUCCGACAUGAAAUCAUUCGAAUUCUUGAGGAUUAUGAGCGUGGAUCACUAGUUUUCUUGAAUAUUCAAUAAAGGUUAGUUGUUAGUGAAGAAAAGUGUCAAGGUGAUAUCUCGGAUUUGACAAAAGAUUAGCUGAAUUUCGUAAGGUAAAACAUUCUUGUUAAGAUAUUUGGGAAGUUAAUGAUAGGCCAUAGCAGAUUGGAUUGGCAUCUAUGAAGACUAUGCGGAUGGUUGGGACAAAGAGGGUACAGUGGUGGCUGCCCAAGAAUUAUUUCAGAUGGAAUGGCAGAUCCUGUUAGUUAUGGCAAUCCUGAUCGUGACAUUGAACAGGUAUUUCCAUUCUUUUUCUUUUCCUUUUGCGUUUCCUUAGUCGAAUUUAUUUUUCCCAAAGAUGAAAUUAGACACAAGAAAAGGAUAGGUUUAUCACUUAACAUAGUAUCGGUUCAAAAUGAGAGAACAUCCCUUAUUUAAUUAGUUUGUAUAGUGUGUUUUGUUGGUUCAUUUGGACGUUCUGAUUGGCCUAAAAAUGCCUAUCAUGCCUAGUGAACUGACUAAAUGAGUUUCCUCAAGU
rnacentral:lncRNA from 1 species